UACGUAGGGUGCAAGCGUUGUCCGGAAUUAUUGGGCGUAAAGAGCUCGUAGGCGGUUCGUCGCGUCGGCUGUGAAAACCUGAGGCUCAACCCCCAGCCUGCAGUGGGUACGGGCAGACUAGAGUGCGGUAGGGGAGAUUGGAAUUCCUGGUGUAGCGGUGGAAUGCGCAGAUAUCAGGAGGAACACCGAUGGCGAAGGCAGAAUCUCUGGGCCGUAACUGACGCUGAGGAGCGAAAGCGUGGGGAGCGAACAGG
rnacentral:rRNA from 1 species